AGACAAUAGAUACCCAGGUAGUCCACGCCGUAAACUAUGGAUGCUAGCUGUUAUCGGUAUCGACCCCGGUAGUAGCGAAAGCUAACGCGUUAAGCAUCCCGCCUGUGGAGUACGAGUGCAAGCUUAAAACAUAAAGGAAUUGACGGGGACCCGCACAAGCGGUGGAGCGUGUUGUUUAAUUCGACGGUAAACGAAGAACCUUACCCAGGCUUGACAUCCUGCCAAGUUUUGCGAAAGCAAAAUGUGCCUUCGGGCCGCAGUGACAGGUGAUGCAUGGCCGUCGUCAGCUCGUGUCGUGAGAUGUUUGGUUAAGUCCAUCAACGAGCGCAACCCUUAUGGUCAGUUGGAUUUUUCUGGCCAGACUGCCCCGGUAACGGGGAGGAAGGAGGGGAUGAUGUCAGGUCAUUAUUUCCCUUACGUCUGGGGCUACAAACACGCUACAAUGGCCGGUACAAAGGGCAGCAACCCGCGAGGGGAGCAAAUCCCAUCAAAGCCGGUCUCAGUUCGGAUUGCAGGCUGAAACUCG
rnacentral:rRNA from 1 species